rnacentral:rRNA from 1 species
CUACGGGACGCAGCAGUGAGGAAUAUUGCACAAUGGGGGGAACCCUGAUGCAGCAACGCCGCGUGGAGGAUGACGCAUUUCGGUGUGUAAACUCCUUUUAUAUGUCAAGAAAAUGACGGUAGCAUAUGAAUAAGCACCGGCUAACUCCGUGCCAGCAGCCGCGGUAAUACGGGAGGGUGCAAGCGUUACUCGGAAUCACUGGGCGUAAAGGACGUGUAGGCGGGUUGGAAAGUCAGGUGUGAAAUCCUACAGCUUAACUGUAGAACUGCACUUGAAACUUCUAAUCUAGAGUAUGGGAGGGGGAGAUGGAAUUAGUGGUGUAGGGGUAAAAUCCGUAGAUAUCACUAGGAAUACCUAAAGCGAAGGCGAUCUCCUGGAACAUUACUGACGCUAAGGCGUGAAAGCGUGGGGAGCAAACAGGAUUAGAUACCCUAGUAGUC